rnacentral:rRNA from 1 species
UACAGAGGUCUCAAGCGUUGUUCGGAUUCAUUGGGCGUAAAGAGCUCGUAGGCGGUCUGUCGCGUCGGCUGUGAAAUCCCGAGGCUCAACCUCGGGUCUGCAGUCGAUACGGGCAAACUAGAGUAUUGCAGGGGAGACUGGAAUUCCUGGUGUAGCGGUGAAAUGCGCAGAUAUCAGGAGGAACACCGGUGGCGAAGGCGGGUCUCUGGGCAAUAACUGACGCUUAGGAGCGAAAGCGUGGGGAGCGAACAGG